rnacentral:rRNA from 1 species
UACGAGGGGGGCAAAUGUUGUUCGGAAUCACUGGGCGUAAAGGGAGCGUAGGCGGGUUUUUAAAUCAGGUGUUUAAUCCCGGGGCCCAACCCCGGACAGGCACUUGAAACUGGGAAUCUUGAAUAGUGGAGAGGUCGGUGGAAUUGGGGGUGUAGCGGUGGAAUGCGUAGAGAUCCCCAAGAACACCCGUUGCGAAGGCGGCCGACUGGACACAUAUUGACGCUGAGGCUCGAAAGCAUGGGGAGCAAACAGG